rnacentral:rRNA from 1 species
ACGGAAGGCAGCAGUGGGGAAUAUUGGACAAUGGGGGAAACCCUGAUCCAGCGACGCCGCGUGAGUGAAGAAGUAUUUCGGUAUGUAAAGCUCUAUCAGCAGGGAAGAUAAUGACGGUACCUGACUAAGAAGCCCCGGCUAACUACGUGCGAGCAGCCGCGGUAGUACGUAGGGGGCAAGCGUUAUCCGGAUUUACUGGGUGUAAAGGGAGCGUAGACGGCAUGGCAAGUCUGAUGUGAAAACCCGGGGCUCAACCUCGGGACUGCAUUGGAAACUGUCAAGCUAGAGUGCAGGAGAGGUAAGUGGAAUUCCUAGUGUAGCGGUGAAAUGCGUAGAUAUUAGGAGGGACACCAGUGGCGAAGGCGGCUUACUGGACUGUAACUGGCGUUGAGGCUCGAAGGCGUGGGGAGCAAACAGGAUUAGAUACCCUGGUA